rnacentral:rRNA from 1 species
GACGAACGCUGGCGGCGUGCUUAACACAUGCAAGUCGAACGGAAAGGCCCUGCUUUUGUGGGGUGCUCGAGUGGCGAACGGGUGAGUAACACGUGAGUAACCUGCCCUUGACUUUGGGAUAACUUCAGGAAACUGGGGCUAAUACCGGAUAGGAGCUCCUGCUGCAUGGUGGGGGUUGGAAAGUUUCGGCGGUUGGGGAUGGACUCGCGGCUUAUCAGCUUGUUGGUGGGGUAGUGGCUUACCAAGGCUUUGACGGGUAGCCGGCCUGAGAGGGUGACCGGCCACAUUGGGACUGAGAUACGGCCCAGACGCCUACGGGAGGCAGCAGUGGGGAAUAUUGCACAAUGGGCGGAAGCCUGAUGCAGCAACGCCGCGUACGGGAUGACGGCCUUCGGGUUGUAAACCGCUUUCGCCUGUGACGAAGCGUGAGUGACGGUAAUGGGUAAAGAAGCACCGGCUAACUACGUG